CUGACUUCCAGAAUGGACUGAGGACUCUUGGCUUACCCACAGCAAUCAUACAGAUCUGAUUUGGAUGAUACAACUUAAUUCAAAUGCUGUGUCUAUUGAACUGACUCAGAUGUGUUAAAUUGGAUGGCAGAAAUAAGUCACUGGAACAAAAUACUUGAGAAAGAACCUGCUCUCCUCCCUACUUUCUUAAAAAUACGCUCACAUGUUCUCCCAUAUACCAAAACAAUUAUUCUAGAUUGG